GGAAAAAGAAGAAGAGAAAAUUAACUUCACAGAAGGGGAUUAGGGACUUUCCUUUUAGGAAGAAGCAGAUCGAGGGAGAGAAGAUCGGCGGCUUGGGUGACAUCACUCUACAGGUAUGUCCUCUCUUUCUUCACUCUUUCUGUCUCUUUCUUGGUUCUGCAGAUCACCAACUUUUUUUCCUUAUUUUUCUUCUUUUGUUCUUCUGGUUGGGCAGGUUGGACUGCUUGGGUUAUGUUAUGUACUUAUUUAUGUACUGAAACUGAAUAUUGAAUUUUCUUUUCUUUCUUUUUUCUGUUUUUAUUUUACUGAAUGUGGCAAGUGGCAAGUGGCAAGUGGCAAUUAAUGAAUUAAAUGUGUCUGGC
rnacentral:lncRNA from 1 species